rnacentral:lncRNA from 1 species
GGCCGGUUAAUGCGUUGACUUGUUUGGCCCAGAUUUCUGGGCUUAUUUGAAAAGAUGAGAAAUUUUUUAUGCACUGCGGGCAGUGUAAAAAAUCCAACAUGAAGCAUACUGUCUUAUCCAAUUAGUCUACGUAGUUAUCAUUUUUCAACACAUAUUUAAUACUUGUAGGUCGAUUUUUUCGUUUAAAAAUUUUGUACGAUGAAAAUAUUUCUAAUCUUUGAAAAAAAUUAUGAUAUGCUGUGACAU